AUACGUAGGGGGCGAGCGUUGUCCGGAAUGACUGGGCGUAAAGGGCGUGUAGGCGGCGGUGUAAGUCUGGAGUGAAAGUCCCGCAUUCAAUGUGGGAAUUGCUUUGGAUACUGCAGUGCUAGAGUGCGGAAGAGGUAAGUGGAAUUCCCAGUGUAGCGGUGAAAUGCGUAGAGAUUGGGAGGAACACCAGUGGCGAAGGCGACUUACUGGGCCGUAACUGACGCUGAGGCGCGAAAGCGUGGGGAGCGAACAGGAUUAGAUACCCUGGUAGUCCACGCGGUAAACGAUGAAUGCUAGGUGUUGCGGGUAUCGACCCCUGCAGUGCCGGAGUAAACACAAUAAGCAUUCCGCCUGGGGAGUACGGCAGCAAGGUUGAAACUCAAAUGAAUUGACG
rnacentral:rRNA from 1 species